rnacentral:tRNA from 1 species
AGAAAUUUAGGUUAAUUAAGUAAACCAGGGACCUUCAAAGCCCCAAACAGGGGUAAUCCCCUAAUUUCUG